GGGGUGUUAGCUCAGCGGUUAGAGCAAUUGACUGCAGAUCAAUAGGUCUUCGGUUCCAAAUCCGGAACGCCCCU
rnacentral:tRNA from 1 species